rnacentral:rRNA from 1 species
AAAUUGAAGAGUUUGAUCAUGGCUCAGAUUGAACGCUGGCGGCAGGCCUAACACAUGCAAGUCGAACGGUAACAGGAAGCAGCUUGCUGCUUCGCUGACGAGUGGCGGACGGGUGAGUAAUGUCUGGGAAACUGCCUGAUGGAGGGGGAUAACUACUGGAAACGGUAGCUAAUACCGCAUAACGUCGAAAGACCAAAGAGGGGGACCUUCGGGCCUCUUGCCAUCGGAUGUGCCCAGAUGGGAUUAGCUUGUUGGUGGGGUAAUGGCUCACC